rnacentral:lncRNA from 1 species
GUUCCCCGCGAAAGAGAGGCCACCGCCCUGCCCCGAACCACCCGACCCCGUCCCAACCCCGCGUCCUAAAGCUCCUCCAGCAGAGCCCGGUAUUCUUCCUCGCUGAGGGGUGCUUCCAGCGAGGCGGCCUCUUCCGAGGCCUCCAGCUCCCCCGGGGCCUCCGUUUCUGGGAAAGGGUUAGACACAGAUAAACUGUUUCACGUUAGACCUGUAACCCAAGGAGAUGUGUAUAGAGCUGAAACUGAAGAAAUUCCUAAAAUAUUCCAGAUACUAUAUGCAAAUGAAGGUGAAUGUAGAAAAGAUGUAGAGAUGGAACCAGUACAAGAAGCUGAAAAAACUAAUUUCCAAAAUCACAAAGGCCAUGAGUUUAUUCCUACACUCUACCACUUUCCUGCCAAUUGUGAUGCCUGUGCCAAACCUCUCUGGCAUGUUUUUAAGCCACCCCCUGCCCUAGAGUGUCAAAGACGCCAUGUUAAGUGCCACAGAGAUCACUUAGAUAAGAAAGAGGACUUAAUUUGUCCAUGUAAAGUAAGUUAUGAUGUAACAUCAGCAAGAGAUAU